CCUCGGUUCCAUUUUGUUGGUUUUCGGGACUCGAGGUAAUGAUUAAUAGGGACGGACGGGGGCAUUCGUAUUGCGACGUUAGAGGUGAAAUUCUUGGAUCGUCGCAAGACGAACCGAUGCGAAAGCAUUUGCCAAGAACGUUUUCGUUGAUCAAGAACGAAAGUUAGAGGUUCGAAGGCGAUCAGAUACCGCCCUAGUUCUAACCAUAAACGAUGCCAGCUAGCCAUCCGCCGAAGUUCCUUCUAUGACUCGGCGGGCAGCUUCCGGGAAACCAAAGCUCUUGGGUUCCGGGGGAAGUAUGGUUGCAAAGCUCAAACUUAAAGGAAUUGACGGAAGGGCACCACCAGGAGUGGAGNNUGCGGCUUAAUUUGACCCAACACGGGAAACCUCACCAGGCCCAGACACCGGUAGGAUUGACAGAAUAAGAGCUCUUUCUUGAUUCGGUGGGUGGUGGUGCAU
rnacentral:rRNA from 1 species